GAUGAACGCUAGCGGCAGGCUUAAUACAUGCAAGUCGAGGGACAGCACAGGUAGCAAUACUGGGUGGUAACCGGCAAACGGGUGCGGAACACGUACACAACCUUCCUUUAAGUGGGGGAUAGCCCAGAGAAAUUUGGAUUAAUACCCCGUAAUAUAGUUGAAUGGCAUCAUUUGAUUAUUAUAGCUACGGCGCUUAAUGAUGGGUGUGCGACUGAUUAGAUAGUUGGCGUGGUAACGGCCCACCAAGUCUACGAUCAGUAGCUGAUGUGAGGGCGUGAUCAGCCACACGGGCACGGGGACACGGGCCCGACUCCUACGGGAGGCAGCAGUAAGGAAUAUUGGUCAAUGGACGCAAGUCUGAACCAGCCAUGCCGCGUGAAGGAUUAAGGUCCUCUGGAUUGUAAACUUCUUUUAUUUGGGACGAAAAAGGGCCUUUCUAGGUCAACUGACGGUACCAGAUGAAUAAGCACCGGCUAACUCCGUGCCAGCCGCCGCCGUAACAC
rnacentral:rRNA from 1 species